AGAGAUCCGCUUGCCAGGUGACACCAGAACCAGCACAUCAUCAUGUAACCCAACCCAAGGUUGGCGCCGGCUUUAUGCGCUCUCUAUGCUGAUAAGCGACUACGGCGUAACCCAUGCUGCAAAGUGCCGUAUCAGCUUCUUGGCCCGAGUGGCCCCACCUCGCCACCCGGUGACAUGCAGUUGGAAAACUGCGUUCGCAAUGUCGAAUGAAGGUCGCCGGUGUUUGCUGCCCUCUCUCUGUGUGUGUGUGUGUGUGUGUGUGUAUGUGGCCUAUGUUAGUGUGUGUGGGUGUUUGCUAAAAAACAUUUCUUUGGGAAGUGUUCGCAGCGUGCUGCCGUCGUGUUUGGAGCAUGGAUCUCCUGGCCUUGAUGCCACUUUCCGGAUUUGAGACCGAAACUUUCCAAUUAUUUACAUAUGAUCUACGCUCUAGCUUAUCGUGCCAUCUUAUUAGAAUAUAUGUAUGUAUGAAUAUGAAAUCUAUCUCCAUGUGACCCCAUAAAAGAGUACUCAUACUGAUCACUAAAACAGCAGAGUCGAUAUAAGUAUGUAAGUAGUACUUUUCGAGAAAAGGUAAAAACAAAACCAACAAA